GACAGAGGCCUCAAGCGUUAGGCGGAAUCACUGGGCUUAAAGCGUGUGUAGGCGGGUCGUUAAGUACCUUGUGAAAUCCCACGGCUCACCCGUGGAACUGCUGGGUAUACUGGCGAUCUUGGGCCAACUAGGGGCAGCCGGAACAAGCGGUGGAGCGGUGAAAUGCGUAGAUAUCGCUUGGAACGCCGAAGGUGAAAACAGGCUGCUGGGGUUGCGCCGACGCUGAGACACGAAAGCCAGGGGAGCAAACGGG
rnacentral:rRNA from 1 species